UACAGAGGGUGCAGGCGUUAAUCGGAAUUACUGGGCGUAAAGCGUGCGUAGACGGUUGCGUAAGUCAGAUGUGAAAGCCCCGGGCUCAACCUGGGAAUUGCAUUUGAGACUGCGUAGCUAGGGUGCGGAAGAGGGAAGCGGAAUUUCCGGUGUAGCGGUGAAAUGCGUAGAUAUCGGAAGGAACACCAGUGGCGAAAGCGGCUUCCUGGUCCAGCACCGACGUUCAGGCACGAAAGCGUGGGGAGCAAACAGG
rnacentral:rRNA from 1 species